GAUGAACGCUGGCGGCGUGCCUAAUACAUGCAAGUCGAGCGAACGGACGAGAAUCUUGCUUUUCUGAUGUUAGCGGCGGACGGGUGAGUAACACGUGGAUAACCUACCUAUAAGACUGGGAUAACGUCGGGAAGCCGGAGCUAAUACCGGAUCAUAUUUUGAACCGCGUGGUUCAAAAGUGAAAGACGGUCUUGCUGUCACGUAUAGAUGGAUCCGCGCUGCAUUAGCUAGUUGGUAAGGUAACGGCCUACCAAGGCAACGAUGCAUAGCCGACCUGAGAGGAUGACCAGCCACACUGGAACUGAGACACGGCCCAGACUCCUACGGGAGGCAGCAGUAGGGAAUCUUGGACAAUGGGCGAAAGCCUGACGCAGCAACGCCGCGUGAGUGAUGAAGGUCUUCGGAUCGUAAAGCACUGUUAGCAGGGAAGAACAUGUGUGUACGUAUAUCUCCACAUCAUGACGGUACCCGCAGAGAAAGCCCCGGCUAACUACGUG
rnacentral:rRNA from 1 species